AUGCCUUUGCCGUCUGCCAUGGCAGACGGCAAAGAAGCUGAUUCCAGUAGUGACGGGUCUGUAUUGAUGGGGAAUGGUCUGAGUGCUUCUGUUCAUGGUGUUAGCACGGUCGAUCUGAACUUUACUUCGGGAAGGAUCAUGCAUCUGAAGAACAUGCAACAUGUUCCCGCGAUUAAGAAGAACCUCGUUAGUGGCUCCCUUCUAUGUAGAGAAGGAUUUAAGUUGGUCGUCGAGUCUAAUAAAUUAGUUGUUACGAAAUAUGAACUCUUUGUUGGAAAAGGUUAUGAGUGCAGAUUCUUGUACAAAAGUCGUGAACAAUAUUCAUUCGAGUGUUAA
rnacentral:rRNA from 1 species